rnacentral:rRNA from 1 species
ACGCACGCUGGCGGCGUGCUUCACACAUGCAAGUCGAACGGAAAGGCCCUGCUUUUGUGGGGUGCUCGAGUGGCGAACGGGUGAGUAACACGUGAGUAACCUGCCCUUGACUUUGGGAUAACUUCAGGAAACUGGGGCUAAUACCGGAUAGGAGCUCCUGCUGCAUGGUGGGGGUUGGAAAGUUUCGGCGGUUGGGGAUGGACUCGCGGCUUAUCAGCUUGUUGGUGGGGUAGUGGCUUACCAAGGCUUUGACGGGUAGCCGGCCUGAGAGGGUGACCGGCCACAUUGGGACUGAGAUACGGCCCAGACUCCUACGGGAGGCAGCAGUGGGGAAUAUUGCACAAUGGGCGGAAGCCUGAUGCAGCAACGCCGCGUGCGGGAUGACGGCCUUCGGGUUGUAAACCGCUUUCGCCUGUGACGAAGCGUGAGUGACGGUAAUGGGUAAAGAAGCACCAGCUAACUACGUG